GGCGGCCAGCCUAAGACAUGACAGUCGAGCGGUAGCACUGAGAGCUUGCUCUCGGGUGACGAGCGGCGGACGGGUGAGUAAUGUCUGGGAAACUGCCUGAUGGAGGGGGAUAACUACUGGAAACGGUAGCUAAUACCGCAUAAUGUCGCAAGACCAAAGUGGGGGACCUUCGGGCCUCAUGCCAUCAGAUGUGCCCAGAUGGGAUUAGCUAGUAGGUGGGGUAACGGCUCACCUAGGCGACGAUCCCUAGCUGGUCUGAGAGGAUGACCAGCCACACUGGAACUGAGACACGGUCCAGACUCCUACGGGAGGCAGCAGUGGGGAAUAUUGCACAAUGGGCGCAAGCCUGAUGCAGCCAUGCCGCGUGUGUGAAGAAGGCCUUCGGGUUGUAAAGCACUUUCAGCGGGGAGGAAGGCGUUAAGGUUAAUAACCUUGUCGAUUGACGUUACCCGCAGAAGAAGCACCGGCUAACUCCGUGCCAGCAGCCGCGGUAAUACGGAGGGUGCAAGCGUUAAUCGGAAUUACUGGGCGUAAAGCGCACGCAGGCGGUCUGUCAAGUCGGAUGUGAAAUCCCCGGGCUCAACCUGGGAACUGCAUUCGAAACUGGCAGGCUAGAGUCUUGUUGAGGGGGGUAGAAUUCCAGGUGUAGCGGUGAAAUGCGUAGAGAUCUGGAGGAAUACCGGUGGCGAAGGCGGCCCCGUGGACUAAGACUGACGCUCAGGUGCGAAUGCGUG
rnacentral:rRNA from 1 species